rnacentral:tRNA from 1 species
GCCACAUUAGCUCAGUUGGUAGAGCAACGGUCUUGUAAACCGUAGGUCGCUGGUUCAAAUCCGGCAUGUGGCUCCA